rnacentral:ribozyme from 14 species
AGGCGGCACAAUACUUCAUGGACAUCGCCGCAAAGAGUCUUCCCCGAGCCGGAGCUGAGCAAAGCAAGGGUGGAAGGAGGAGGUCGGCGCCCUUC